UUGUUCGUAAGAAGGAGAGAUGGUUGGCACGGGAACAGCUUUCGAGCUUACCUGUUAUUACACAUCCGGUUAAGGCUAUCCACUACGGUGGAUCUAUAACGAUAAUAA
rnacentral:ncRNA from 1 species